CUAUAUGCAGUCGAGCGACAGAUAAGGAGCUUGCUCCUUUGACGUUAGCGGCGGACGGGUGAGUAACACGUGGGUAACCUACCUAUAAGACUGGGAUAACUUCGGGAAACCGGAGCUAAUACCGGAUAACAUUUGGAACCGCAUGGUUCUAAAGUGAAAGAUGGUUUUGCUAUCACUUAUAGAUGGACCCGCGCCGUAUUAGCUAGUUGGUAAGGUAAUGGCUUACCAAGGCGACGAUACGUAGCCGACCUGAGAGGGUGAUCGGCCACACUGGAACUGAGACACGGUCCAGACUCCUACGGGAGGCAGCAGUAGGGAAUCUUCCGCAAUGGGCGAAAGCCUGACGGAGCAACGCCGCGUGAGUGAUGAAGGGUUUCGGCUCGUAAAACUCUGUUAUUAGGGAAGAACAAACGUGUAAGUAACUGUGCACGUCUUGACGGUACCUAAUCAGAAAGCCACGGCUAACUACGUGCCAGCAGCCGCGGUAAUACGUAGGUGGCAAGCGUUAUCCGGAAUUAUUGGGCGUAAAGCGCGCGUAGGCGGUUUCUUAAGUCUGAUGUGAAAGCCCACGGCUCAACCGUGGAGGGUCAUUGGAAACUGGGAAACUUGAGUGCAGAAGAGGAAAGUGGAAUUCCAUGUGUAGCGGUGAAAUGCGCAGAGAUAUGGAGGAACACCAGUGGCGAAGGCGACUUUCUGGUCUGUAACUGACGCUGAUGUGCGAAAGCGUGGGGAUCAAACAGGAUUAGAUACCCUGGUAGUCCACGCCGUAAACGAUGAGUGCUAAGUGUUGGGGUUUCCGCCCCUUAGUGCUGCAGCUAACGCAUUAAGCACUCCGCCUGGGGAGUACGACCGCAAGGUUGAAACUCAGAAUUGACGGGGACCCGCACAAGCGGUGGAGCAUGUGGUUUAAUCGAAGCAACGCGAAAACUUACCAUCUUGACUCCUUUGAAACUCUAGAGAUAAGCUUUCCCUUGGGGAAGUGACGGCAUCGUCAGUCGGAUUUCCAGCACCUUAGCUUACAUCAUUAAGGGU
rnacentral:rRNA from 1 species